rnacentral:rRNA from 1 species
GAUGAACGCUGGCGGCGUGCCUAAUACAUGCAAGUCGAGCGAACGGACGAGGAGCUUGCUCCUCUGACGUUAGCGGCGGACGGGUGAGUAACACGUGGAUAACCUACCUAUAAGACUGGGAUAACUUCGGGAAACCGGAGCUAAUACCGGAUAAUAUAUUGAACCGCAUGGUUCAAUAGUGAAAGACGGUUUUGCUGUCACUUAUAGAUGGAUCCGCGCUGCAUUAGCUAGUUGGUAAGGUAACGGCUUACCAAGGCAACGAUGCAUAGCCGACCUGAGAGGGUGAUCGGCCACACUGGAACUGAGACACGGUCCAGACUCCUACGGGAGGCAGCAGUAGGGAAUCUUCCGCAAUGGGCGAAAGCCUGACGGAGCAACGCCGCGUGAGUGAUGAAGGUCUUCGGAUCGUAAAACUCUGUUAUUAGGGAAGAACAAAUGUGUAAGUAACUAUGCACGUCUUGACGGUACCUAAUCAGAAAGCCACGGCUAACUACGUG